UAGCUACAAAGUCUUGUAGCUAUUAAAUUACUGAACCAGCACUUCUACAAGAAGUAUUUUCUUUUUAUAAAAAGUAUUUUUGGCCAGGUUGGUCUUGAACUCCUGGCCUCAAGCAGUCCUCCCAUCUUUUCCUCCCAAAGUGCUAGGAUUACAGGCACGAGCCACCUUGCCCAGCCUACCAGAAGUAUUUUUUUGCUCUAGAAUUGAAAGUGUUCUCAAGUGUCAGAAUGAAAUUUCUGGAAUAAAUAGUAAAUGUUUAAUAACUUGAACUUGAAUUGCUGUUACAGAGAUUAUCAAAACUAAAUGCUUCCUGUUUUUGACAUAGAGAUGCAUGAUGCAAGCAACGACAAUGUAUAUUUGUUUGAACCUGAUGAUAAGAUCUCUGGCUGGGCGUGGUAGUUCAUGCCUAUAAUCCCAGCACUUUGGGAGGCAACAUGGCAAAACUCUGUCUCUACUAAAAAUACUAAAUUUAGCUGGGCAUGGUGGCAUGUACCUGUAAUCCCACCUACUCAAGAGGCGGAGGCAGGAGGAUCGCUUGAACCUGGGAGGCAGAGGUUGCAGUGAGCGCCACUGCACUCCAGUCUGGGUGGCAGAGUGAGAGUCUAUCUCAGAAAGAAAGAUUUCUAUGAUAUUUAAUAUUGGCAUUCGGUAUUCAGUUACCUUGUACCUGAGAACCCAUUGGCUGUGAAACAGUGACAGCUGAGAGAAUCCUGAGUCAUCUCAUUUCUAGUUCUUGGUGAACUUCUGGACUUUUCUUCAGAACCACCUUGCCAUGUUGGCCAGGCUGGUCUUGAACUCCUGACCUCUCAGGUGAUCCAACACCUUGGCCUCUUAAAGUGCUGGGAUUACAGGCAUGAGCCACCAUGCCUGGCCAGCUGUUUUUUUUGUUGGUUUGUUUUUUGUUUUGGUACCCAUCUGUAGUGUGAUCUUGGCUCACUGCAACCUCUGCCUCUUGGGCUCAGGCAGUCCUCCCACCUCAGCCUCCUGAGUAGCUGGGCCUCCUGUAGUUGCACACCACCAAGCCUGGCUAAUUUUUGCAUUUUUAGUAGACAGGGUUUCACCAUGUUGCCCAGGCUGGUCUCAAAUUCCUGAGCUGAAGUGAUCUGCCCGCCUCAGUCUCCCAAAGUGUAGGGAUUACAGGCGUGAGCCACCAUGCCUAGCCUCAGCAUAUAGUUUUUUCUAAAUGUACACAUGCCCAGGCACACAUGCACAGGCAAUUCAGAAUAAGUUUCUGGUGUUUAUGUAACUUUAUUUGCCAAAUCUGGCCAACUCUAAAGCUGAUCUCGGGAGAUGAAGUUGGAAGUAACAUUGGCCAUAUGGGUCUCUGUUCUUUCUGUUGAUUUCCUUAAGUAAAUAAUGCU
rnacentral:lncRNA from 10 species